AGCGAACGCUGGCGGAAUGCUUAACACAUGCGAGUCUCACGGGCAGCAAUGUCAGUGGCGGACGGGUGAGUAACGCGUAGGAAUGUGUCCUGUGGUGGGGGAUAACGUCGGGAAACUGGCGCUAAUACCGCAUAUGUCCUGAGGGGCAAAGCAGCAAUGCGCCAUUGGAGCAGCCUGCGUCCGAUUAGCUUGUUGGUGGGGUAAAGGCUUACCAAGGCGACGAUCGGUAGCUGGUCUGAGAGGAUGAUCAGCCACACUGGAACUGAGACACGGUCCAGACUCCUACGGGAGGCAGCAGUGGGGAAUAUUGGACAAUGGGCGAAAGCCUGAUCCAGCAAUUCCGCGUGGGUGAAGAAGGUCUUCGGAUUGUAAAGCCCUUUCGACGGGGACGAUGAUGACGGUACCCGUAGAAGAAGCCCCGGCUAACUUCGUGCCAGCAGCCGCCGCGGUAA
rnacentral:rRNA from 1 species